AGUAACGGCGAGUGAAGCGGCAACAGCUCAAAUUUGAAAUCUGCCCGCAAGGGCCGAGUUGUAAUUUGUAGAGGAUGUUUUGGGUACCGCCACGGUUUAAUUUUCUUGGAACAGGAAGCCAAAGAGGGUGAGAGU
rnacentral:rRNA from 1 species